rnacentral:tRNA from 2 species
GAAAGAUUAGUUAAAAUAUAACUUUAGUAUGUCAAACUAAGAUUAUUAAUUAAAUUAAUAUCUUUUU